rnacentral:rRNA from 1 species
UACGUAGGGCGCAAGCGUUAUCCGGAAUUAUUGGGCGUAAAGAGCUCGUAGGCGGUUUGUCGCGUCUGCCGUGAAAACCCGGGGCUCAACUCCGGGCUUGCAUUCGAUACGGGCAGGCUAGAGUUCGGUAGGGGAGUCUGGAAUUCCUGGUGUAGCGGUGAAAUGCGCAGAUAUCAGGAGGAACACCGGUGGCGAAGGCGGGUCUCUGGGCCGAUACUGACGCUGAGGAGCGAAAGCGUGGGGAGCGAACAGG